rnacentral:tRNA from 1 species
UGGGGUUGUGGCUCAGUGGUAAAGCGCCUUCCUGGCAUGUGUGAGGCCCUGGGUUCAAUCCUCAGCACCACAA